CCUACGGGAGGCAGCAGUAGGGAAUAUUGGUAAUCUGGGAAACCGGGAACCAGCAACGCCGCGUGCGCGAUGAAGGCCUUCGGGUUGUAAAGCGCUUUUAGAAGGGAUGAGGAAGGACAGUACCUUCUGAAUAAGCCUCGGCUAACUACGUGCCAGCAGCCGCGGUAAAACGUAGGAGGCGAGCGUUAUCCGGAUUUACUGGGCGUAAAGCGCGUGUAGGCGGUCUUGUAAGUUGGAUGUGAAAGCUCCUGGCUUAACUGGGAGAGGUCGUUCAAAACUGCAAGACUUGAGAGUGGUAGAGGGAGGUGGAAUUCCGGGUGUAGUGGUGAAAUGCGUAGAUAUCCGGAGGAACACCAGUGGCGAAAGCGGCCUCCUGGUCCAUUUCUGACGCUCAGACACGAAAGCUAGGGUAGCAAACGGGAUUAGAGACCCCGGUAGUCCUAGCUGUAAACGAUGUGAACUUGGCGUCGGUGGGUUUAAAUCCAUCGGUGCCGAAGCAAACGCGAUAAGUUCACCGCCUGGGGACUACGGCCGCAAGGUUAAAACUCAAAGGAAUUGACGGGGCCCCGCACAAGCAGCGGAGCGUGUGGUUUAAUUCGAUGCUACACGAAGAACCUUACCAGGGUUUGACAUGUAAGUGGUAGGAAACUGAAAAGGGACCGACCCUUCGGGGAGCUAUGAG
rnacentral:rRNA from 1 species